UAGUGAAGAAAUGUAAAUUUGCAUUGGGCUGAUGGAUAAAAUAUUUAAGCCGAAGAUGCCGGUUCUCCCCUCACUCCAUGUUACCUGUCCACCAUCACCCGGCUCCCUGCAGAAAUCCUGAGGGCAGUGGCUGCGUGUGGAAUCUGCUUGGUGCAGAGUGGGAAUUUCACCAAGCCAAAACCCAUGCACAAAAAUAAAGCUUGGUCUGUCCUAUUAAAAAAAAGAGAGGAAAAAAAUUGCACAUACAGGAUUAGUAAGAGCAGAUGCAACUUGAAAACCAAGAGCUAAAUUGAUUUAUAGCCAUGGUUACUCGAAAUGCUCAGAGUUUAAUCUAUUCAUAGAAAUGCUCUAGAAAUCCCACAGGAUUCCAAUGGAAUAAAAAGGAGCUGUGCUCUUAGGCAGGCAUUAUUUAUACACCUUGCUCCUAAAGCAACAGCUUUCCCGUGCAAUUGGAAGAGUUGUGGGCGGCAGCACACAAUGGUAAAAAGAUAAAUAUUGAACAGCUUUCUUAAAUUAGCAUUUUCCUUACAUUUCACCUUUUCAACUGAUUGGGUUUUUUUUUCACCUCACAGGCCCAAGUAACCCUGUGGUUAACACUUUAUGAGCUGGGUGACAGAUCCUACCCAAAAUGAGCUCAGCAUGAAGAAUUUCCCCAUCAAAAAUACUCUAAACAGAGCUGGUGAUUUAAGGAAAUUACAUUCUUUUAAUCCUUUUCGUGAACUCAUGAGAUUCUUCACUAUUUCACAGCCACGGAACUGAGUGAGAAGGACACUGAGGAUUUCUGGAAGCCGAGAGUUUCUGUGGGAGACAUCAGCACCUGCAGAGCCAAAGGUCACCACUGGCACCGAUUUUGGGAGCGUUUACUCUGACAUUUUGGAUGUUGUGACAAAGAACAGCCAACAGUGGAUGUGGUGGUUUAGCUGGAGGAAAAUUCAGGAUGCAGUCAAGAAAGAAAGGAAACAAUUCCUGAUGGAGAAUCACGUUCCCUUCUGCCUCUGCUGUCCACGAUCCAGAUGACAACCACAUGACUGUGUUUGGAAAAGGUUGAGUUUGUUACCUCCGGUGCUCCUUCCCCUGUUCACUGUGCUAAAAUCAUCAUGCAAAUUGGAAGUGAGACGUGAAAUUUUCCCCUCCUCUGGGAUGUCUCAGAUCUGGGAUGUUGGCUUCAGGAGGAACCUGCCUCUCCUGGACAGGGGCAACAUCCAAGGCUCCAUCCAUGGAGAAGGGAAAGCCCAGGCAGCUUCUGUGAACAGGGCCAAGCUCCUUCAGCAACCACGUGGCCCAAGGAGCGAUGUCUUCUUACUUGGACACACUUUUAUUUAAAAGUGGAAAAAGCGAUGAAUGGAUUCCAUGCUUUGCCUCAGCCCAUGCGGGGGAUCAAGGGCCUGUUGGAAUUGUCCCUUGGGAAAAAGAGAGGAGCUUCCCACUGCAGUGCUGGCAGCGCAUCCCCAGCAUCUCUGCAGGGAUGGGUUUGGAGGGAACACUCAGGUAUUUUUAUUUGGACUCCAACCGUGCUGAAUGUGCGAGAAUUAGACACUGAAAUUUAACUGUACAGCAGAAUUCGUUUUCCUUACUUAACACUGCAGUGCUAGAAUUCCUUGGUGAUGGCCAGGGAGGGAUCUCCCCUCUCACAUCUGGCUCUGAACCUGGCAGGGCUUCCACAGCAUUCCUUGUUUAAGCUGAGGCACUUGGGGAAACCUCAACCUUCUGUGAUUUUGGAGCCACCAUUGCAGCUCCAGAGCCCUGCAUCCAGGCUGGCUCACAGGGAGCUUCCCACUGGAGCCUGGAUCUUUGAGGGAGCCACAACUCCAGCUGCAGGAACGGCAGCUCCUGGUGGCUCUGGGAAGCAGCAGGGUCUGAGCACACCCUGGCUGCAGGGUCCCGAGGGAGCACUCCCUCUCAGCCACCUCCCAAGGCGAGACAUUUGGAUUUCUCCUCUCAGUUACAGCAAGCACAGCUGCAAAUAUGAUCAAAAAUAUCUAAUCCUCUUAGCUGCUUCUGCAGUUUGACUCGAUCGCUGCAGAGGAAAAUGCUGUGAUUGCAGAGCGCUGCCUGCAUUCCCACGUAAGCCUCAGCUUUUACACCAUUGAUCAUCCCUCCACAUUGAUUUUUUGGAAGGAGGAGAAGGUGUUUGGCUCCUUGACGUGAAACUGAGGGGGUUUUUCAGGAAGGGUUUGGAAGCCAGGAGCUCCCAGGGCAGCACGUGGCUCUUGGUGCUCCUUCACCGAACAAGCAGAAUCCAGCUGGGAUUUCUUCUUCACCAGAAGCCAGAGCACAUUUGAAAGCUGUCAAGGAGAAUUGUUUGGGAAAAAUCCCCUUUGCUCCUUGUGCAACCCCUGCACUUGCAGAGGGAAUCUCUUGGCGCAGCUGUGCUUGGACAAGACCAUCCAGCUUCCCCUCCAUCAGCACGGGGCCUCCAGCUGCAGCAGCAUCCCUGUCCCCUGUGGAUAACUGUGGAUAACUCCAGCUCACCCAUCUCGCUUGGCCACAUCUCCCACUCAGCUCCUCCAGCCCUCACAGGAAGGUUUUCCAACUGGGACUCCACACAGGCCAUGGAUUCCAGCCAACAGCACCAGGAGUUUCUCCAGCCUAAGUUAAUUCUGCUUGGGCUAAGAUUCCCAGCAGUGCAGAGGAAUUGGUCUGGGAGAUUGCAGUCGUGGUGUAGAUGCUGGAAGGAUUUAUUGUUGGUUUGGUUUUGUUUCACAGAACUCUGUCACACAGAUCGUGAAGCUGCUUUGGAACCUCACUCACACCUGUAAGGGGGGGUCUCCCAGCAGCCCAAAAUGGAGCCCACCCAGGUGGGUUUCACCUGCUUAAACCCUUCUGCUGUACAUGGCAAGAGGCUCCUCUUCCCCAAAGAAUGUCCCACAUCAGUGGAGACUGAUCAAUACCACAAAUAACACAUAAAUGAGGGAAGAGGAGACUGGGAGGGCUGUAAAUUGUUGUCAAAACCAUCAUCUCUGCAUCCAGGAGACCACACUGACACUGUCCUCCAAGGCCAUUGCCACCACACAGGGACACAGAAAACAGGCACAGAAACCAGCUCAUUGCAGUCUGCCUCCAGGAAAAAUCAGCAGAGCCCAGGAUCUCAGGCAGGGAAUAAGCGCAGCUGCUUAACACAGCUCAUCCUCACCCACUGCCCUCGGGCCCACAAACCCAGAAAACCUCUCCAACCACCAAAUCAGCACAUUACUGAACCUGCAAAGACCAAAAUCUCAGUUUCCUGGUGAGCUCAGCUGCCAGCAGCAGCAGCAGCAGCAGCAGCAGCAAAGCUUUGCACGGCUUGCCAGCCUCAGCACAGCUCCGGAAACCCCCCCCAGAGAGCCCCCACCUACCCCAGCUCCAGCUCAGCUCCAGCUCAGCUCCAGCUCGGCAGCAGCCCCCCAGGUGCAGCAGCUUUGGAGGAGCUGAAGAAGGUUCAGCAGGGCCCAAUUUCCUGGUGGGGAAGUAAACAUUGUUCUCCCGGAGGUGUUUGAUGUUUUUAACCAGCUUGGGAUGGAAGGAGUUUGAGUCUCCAGCUCCCUGGGAGAAGGUGGAAGGAAACCAUGUGAGUGUGUUGAGGUUUGUUGUCUAACUCAAUUAACCGAUUACUUCCAGGUCAAGAAGGGGCAAAGCUGUAGCUGCUCUUGGUGCUGUAAAUAAUGUUUGCUCAGGGGUGGUGCAGGGGCAGGAAGCUGUAGGUGUGGGGUUUUCACUUGGAAGGAAAGCAAAUAUCUCCGAUUGCUUCCUGCUCCCAGCAAACCUGUCCCUAUUUUACUGUUGCUCCUCCGAUUCUGGGGUGAACCCAAUUAUUGCCUUGGGAAAUGUGUGCAGGAAUUCAGGUUCAGGAGGAAUACACAAAUAUCCCUCCUGUGCUGUAAAACACACCCCAAACUCCGCUGGGUGUCCUGGUGUGGGAUCCCCUUUGGAGCAGCUGCGUGAGUUUGCCUUUAAAACACCAAACAUUAGACCAAAAUGUUCAUUUUUGUAAAAAAAACCAAAACAAAAUGGGGGUAGGAUGUUUUGGUGAAAUGGAUGUGAAUCCCUCAGAGCUCAAGCGAGAACAGACAAGUCAGUUGAUGCAGAUCAAGGCAGGAAUUUUCCAGCGGGCCUUAGGGAAUUGGGCUUCAGGGGAAAGGUAAAGGGAGCAGGGAGCAGGUGGUGGGACAGCAGGGCAUGGCCGUGGGGGGCUCCAGCUCGGGCACGUGGACACCUGUGGAUCUUUGCCCUGAGGGGACUUGGUGUCCACUCUGCUCAAAUUUUCCUUGGGCACAAGGCAGAGAUGUCACCUCAGGCAGGACGCUGGCUCCUCUGCAGAACGGUGACAUGGGGGGGAUUCAUUGGAAUAAAGGGACGGGUUCUUCCCAAGACACAGAUUGAACGAGACCCUGGAACCAGAGACAGCAAUGUCAGACCCCAACCUGCCAAUCCAGCCUUGCCAUGGCUCAGGUGGAACAUUCCUGUCACGGAGCAGUGACAGUCCAGCCAUGGGCCCCAGCUCACCCCCAGCUGCCCAAAACUUCCCUCCCAGAGCCCUCUGUCCUGCUUCCCUCCCAGCCCGUGGAGCCGCCUCUCCCCACGCUCACUCGGGAGCAGCUGCUGCAGUGAAUCACAGCAGCAUCCUCCAGCCUCUGCCGAGCCCCAGCUGGGCUUCUCCCUGACCGCUGCAAUCCCACAGCCCCUGCUGACCUCCUCUCCCGGGCAGCUGGGUGCUGCCCCUGCUCACAGAAUCACUUUGGUGUCCCUCCCUGCCCGGAGGGGAAGCAGGGACCUUUUCCAGUGGGAACAGCAGGAUCCAGUGAAGUUCCCAGCACAUGCUGGCCACCAGCAGUGCUCUGGGGAGAGCAGGUCCCUCAUUUCUUGCUCCUGCAGGAACAUCUCUCCGUUGUUCCACGGAGCCCAUGUGGGACGUGCCAAGGCAGGCUGUGUCCUACAGCUGUUCAGCUGGGGAAAGGUGCGUUCCUUUUGGGAUUUCAAAAAAAAAAGGCGAUUUCAGGGGUUGUAAGCACAGCAGGAGCUGGGCCAAUGCCAGCUGCCCAGUGCUGCUGCAGCCUCCUGCUGUGGGCACAGUGAGUCACAGCCAGGGCUGACCUGCUGCUCCACUUGCUGAUGUCAAAACUUCACCACGGGCUGAGCUCCCAGUGCCAAAGCUUUCUCCAGGUUUGUGGGUGUGGAUGAGGGGUAAGGAAAAGUCACAGAGCGGCCUGAGCUGGGACCUUUCCCUUCACCACAAGCCCCAUUUCCUCUGGGAAGUCUCCCAAGGGAGGGAGCCUGGGAGAGCCCAAUGAUCGACAGCAGUGAAUAAACACCCAGACAGACACUGCAGGCUCUCUGCUCACCUGGGAUGGUUUAAGGAGAAGCUGGAGGGCACUCAAGGACUGAAAGUUAUUUGGUUUAAUGCAAAGCAUUCUACAAUUCUUCUUUUUCUGCACAAGCUGCCCAGAGAUAACUGCCCAGCCUUGUCUGCUCCUAUCAGCUCUGCUGAGCCCAACUUCCCCAGCCCAAAGAAGACCGAGAGCUCAUUUGGACAGCUUUGCCUUUGAGUUAAAAACUAUCAGACUUCCAAAAUAACCUCCUCCCUCCCCUCCGGUGGAACACACACACAGAAAGAACUGC